rnacentral:rRNA from 1 species
AUUGAACGCUGGCGGCAGGCCUAACACAUGCAAGUCGAGCGGUAGAGAGGAGCUUGCUUCUCUUGAGAGCGGCGGACGGGUGAGUAAUGCCUAGGAAUCUGCCUGAUAGUGGGGGAUAACGUCCGGAAACGGACGCUAAUACCGCAUACGUCCUACGGGAGAAAGUGGGGGCUCUUCGGACCCCACGCUAUCAGAUGAGCCUAGGUCGGAUUAGCUAGUUGGUGGGGUAAAGGCUCACCAAGGCGACGAUCCGUAACUGGUCUGAGAGGAUGAUCAGUCACACUGGAACUGAGACACGGUCCAGACUCCUACGGGAGGCAGCAGUGGGGAAUAUUGGACAAUGGGCGAAAGCCUGAUCCAGCCAUGCCGCGUGUGUGAAGAAGGUCUUCGGAUUGUAAAGCACUUUAAGUUGGGAGGAAGGGUCGUUACCUAAUACGUGACGAUUUUGACGUUACCGACAGAAUAAGCACCGGCUAACUCUGUGCCAGCCGCCGCGGUAACAC